rnacentral:rRNA from 1 species
UACGGAGGAUCCGAGCGUUAUCCGGAUUUAUUGGGUUUAAAGGGUGCGUAGGCGGGAGAUUAAGUCGGUGGUGAAAUUUUGCAGCUCAACUGUAAAAGUGCCAUUGAUACUGGCUUCCUUGAGUGUGGAUGAAGUAGGCGGAAUUUGUGGUGUAGCGGUGAAAUGCAUAGAUAUCACGAGGAACUCCGAUUGCGCAGGCAGCUUACUAAACCAUAACUGACGCUCAGGCACGAAGGCGUGGGGAUCAAACAGGAUUAGAUACCCCGGUA